rnacentral:lncRNA from 1 species
CUGUUCUUUCUCUGCGGCAGGGCCUGAAUACCAAAGCAGAAAACAAAGGGAAAGGCUGAGUUUAACUCCUUCAGUGCCGGGUGAUCGACCUUUGCAUCUACCGUGUUGCCCUUCAAACCCCAGCCUGUUCAGUCCCGGAUGGAAAUUGCCCUGCGAGUGGGCGUGGAUUCAGUGAGGCUGUGGAGUGCCUCCGGGAAAUCAAACCGCGUCCACACCUGACCACACGCCCUGCGGGGAGAGCCUGGAACUUCAGGCAAAACCUGCACCGCAAAGAAAUUAAAAUCGCCGGCCUGUGGCCUAGCAGGAACAGCCACUGCCUGCAGGCCAGCGUCCCAUGAGGGAGCCGUCCACUUCUACUUCCACUCCCAGGUCCAGGGCCCAGCAGGAGGGAGCCCCACUACCCACCUGGGACCUGCUGAGUCCUGCUCCCUCCCUGGCCCACGCUGUUUCCUGAGAACCAAACUUGCUCUUCAGCCCUUGUCACGGGAGCACACGCGUGUCCUGCUGCACGGAAGCUGUCGCACACAGCAAGGAUGUGACUGCGGGAAAAGGUGACCUUGGGACGGAAAACGGUGAGGAGAGCAGAGCUCGCUCUAAAUUAACCCGCUCCCUGCAGGGGAAGGAUCCCCCCAACACACCCCGCCAGAUCGAUGGCAAAGCACGCCCGCCGGCUUCCGGAAGGUUCCAGCCUCAAACAGAGACACACGGGUUGCCUUGGGGUCGGCUCACAAAGCGAGCCUGUCGUGACCCAUCCAGGUCUGAACCACUUUCUGAGGCCCCCCCAUGUCGACGACACGCAUGUGCCACGGGCCUCACCGUCGGCUUCGCACGCACCCAUCGUCCCCAGCAAACAGUGAGCUUUGUUGCCUCCUUACGGACAAGCAAGAUGGUGCUGCCCACCUGCUGCCCUUCUCACUCGGGCCCCCGGGAAGCUCCCCCGGCCCAGAAUCUGCCAUUUUGCUCGCUCUGAGGCAGCUCCAGACCUCGGCACGGGAUCCGGGAGCAGCCGUGGGCAUGGCCUCCGCCACCAGCUCACAUCUGGCAGCACAAAUGUGUUCCUCGAAAAAGGACAUUCUGGGGGCUGGUGUUGUGCUGUAGAAGGCUGAGCCUCCACCUGUAGCACCGCCAUCCCAUGUGGGCGCCAGUUCGAGACCCGGCUGCUCCACUUCCCAUCCAGCUCCUUGCCAAUGGCCUGGGGAAGCCAUAGAAGAUGGCCCAAGUCCCUGGGCCCCUGCACCUUCGUGGGAGACCCAGAAGAAGCUCCUGGCACCUGGCUUCUGCCAAGCCCAGCCCCAGGCAUUUUGGAGUGAGCCAGAUGGGAGAUUUCUCUCUCUCCAUCUCUCUCUCCCCCUUUCU